GUAUCAUGUCUGCCUGCACACUGCCA
rnacentral:piRNA from 1 species